GCGCUCUCUCUCUCUCUCUCUCUCUCUCUCUCUCUCUCUCAGAGCCAAGUUCAAAACCCUAGUUCUAACUUUUCUUGAGUUUUACACACUUUUCUUUUAAGAAUUUACUCUGUUUUUUCAACAAUGAAUUCUCUCGGAAAAACUCAUUUUGAGUUCUUGAAAACUACUUUUAUUGGUUUUUUCCUAUACAAAAGAUUUUUUGCAUAUACGAUGUUCUCUUUUUCUAGAUCUUCCGUUCUUUCUUUUAAUUUUCAUGAGUUUUCUCGGCAGCCAAACAACUGCUGUUAUAUGUUUUCUUCAUGAUAUCUCCGUCUUCUUUAGAUUUGGUUGUUUUUUCAUAUACGCUGCUCUCUUUUUCAAGGUUUUCUCAUUCUUUUAUUUUCAUGAGUUUUCUUGGCAGCCAAACAGCUGCUCUUGUAUGUUUUCUCCCUAAUUUCUGUCUUCUUUAGAUUUGAUUGUUUUCUUUGCAUAUCUCCAGGGAGAAAAGGCAUGCUCAUGUUCCACUGCUUGAGAUCGCUGACUACUCUGCUUUUUCAAAUGACGAAACGACAUCUGCGGUUGCUUUUCAUUAUAAUUGUGUUCUCGGCGUUCAUCACCUUGCAAGCUUCGGCUAUUACAGAUCCACGAGAUGAAAAUUGACAUCAUCUGCACCAUAAGAUGAUUGCCAGUUAUUGUGGGGGCUUCGUUACAACCGUUUGACCUCCAAGAAAAUUUCUGGGAUCUGAAAAAGCAAGACAUCCAUCUAAUUGAACCUAACGGAAAUAUUUCGCAGGUUGAGUUUAGUUUUUUAUUUAUCCAAAAACAAAAGUAACAUAGAUUACAUGGUUCAGAAUUCUAUUUUCUUUUCUUCUUUCUUUUCCUCGGUUUUCUUUGCCAGCAAUGGGUUAGCAAAGAUUCGUCUGUUCUUUUUAAUGGUUUGGUGGAAAAAAUAACAGAAUGGAUCUUGACUCCUAA